rnacentral:rRNA from 1 species
GUUCCUCGUGGGGGCUUUUCUCUCCCCCAUGGUCGCCCCAACCGAAGACAUUUGGAUCAGUUUACGUUGGGUUUUGUGGCCUUUGUGCUCCUUUUGGUUGGUUUGGUUUCUUUACAUGUUUGAUCUUUUGUCUAAAGCUCCAUAGGGUCUUCUCGUCUUAUGUGUUUAUGUCCGCUUCUGCACGGGCAGAUCAAUUUCAUUGACUAGGGGAAGGAGACAGUUAAACCCUCGUUAUGCCGUUCAUACAGGUCUCUAUUUAAAA